rnacentral:tRNA from 1 species
UAAAUUGAAGCCCGCUGGGUUGGGUUUUUAGUUGUUAACUAAAGGUCACGGGAUCAAAGCCCGUCGAUCUAG